GUAGUCCACGCUGUAAACGAUGAAAACUAGAUGCUAGGGAGCUAAGCUGUUUAGUGUCGAAGCAAACGCGAUAAGUUUUCCGCCUGGGGAGUACGGCCGCAAGGUUAAAACUCAAAGGAAUUGACGGGGGCCUGCACAAGCGGUGGAGCAUGUGGUUUAAUUCGAUGCAACGCGAAAAACCUUACCUACCCUUGACAUCCUUGGGAGCUCUGAGAGAUUAGAGUGUGCCGAAAGGAACCAAGAGACAGGUGCUGCAUGGCUGUCGUCAGCUCGUGUCGUGAGAUGUUGGGUUAAGUCCCGUAACGAGCGCAACCCUUAUCACUAGUUACCAGCGGGUCAAGCCGGGGACUCUAGUGAGACUGCCAGUGAUAAGCUGGA
rnacentral:rRNA from 1 species